GACGAACGCUGGCGGCGUGCUUAACACAUGCAAGUCGAACGAAGAGCGAUGGAGGCUUGCUUCUAUCAAUCUUAGUGGCGAACGGGUGAGUAACGCGUAAUCAACCUGCCCUUCAGAGGGGGACAACAGUUGGAAACGACUGCUAAUACCGCAUACGAUCUAAUCUCGGCAUCGAGGAUAGAUGAAAGGUGGCCUCUACAUGUAAGCUAUCACUGAAGGAGGGGAUUGCGUCUGAUUAGCUAGUUGGAGGGGUAACGGCCCACCAAGGCGAUGAUCAGUAGCCGGUCUGAGAGGAUGAACGGCCACAUUGGGACUGAGACACGGCCCAGACUCCUACGGGAGGCAGCAGGGGGGAAUCUUCCGCAAUGGACGAAAGUCUGACGGAGCAACGCCGCGUGAGUGAUGACGGCCUUCGGGUUGUAAAGCUCUGUUAAUCGGGACGAAAGGCCUUCUUGCGAAUAGUGAGAAGGAUUGACGGUACCGGAAUAGAAAGCCACGGCUAGCUACGUG
rnacentral:rRNA from 1 species